rnacentral:rRNA from 1 species
CACCAGACUCCUACGGGAGGCAGCAGUGGGGAAUAUUGCACAAUGGGGGAAACCCUGAUGCAGCAACGCCGCGUGAGUGAAGAAGUAUUUCGGUAUGUAAAGCUCUAUCAGCAGGGAAGAAAAUGACGGUACCUGAGUAAGAAGCCCCGGCUAACUACGUGCCAGCAGCCGCGGUAAUACGUAGGGGGCAAGCGUUAUCCGGAUUUACUGGGUGUAAAGGGAGCGUAGACGGCGAUACAAGUCUGAAGUGAAAGCCCGGGGCUCAACCCCGGGACUGCUUUGGAAACUGUGUUGCUGGAGUGCUGGAGAGGCAAGCGGAAUUUCUAGUGUAGCGGUGAAAUGCGUAGAUAUUAGGAAGAACACCAGUGGCGAAGGCGGCCUGCUGGACUGUGACUGACGUUGAGGCCCGAAGGCGUGGGGAGCAAACAGGAUUAGAUACCCCAGUA